rnacentral:lncRNA from 1 species
CCGAGGGACGUUUCAAAAUUUUGCACGGCCAGGGUGACAAAAAGAGGAUUUAAGAGCCACAAGCGGUCCGCACAUGACCCAGACUUCGUUCCUGUGCGGCUUCCAGAGGUGUUCAUGCAGAAGACUGGAUGCAGGACCCUUGGUGGCACCAGUGUGCAGAUGAGCAGAUAGUGACUGAUUGCCACUGGGAUGAAAUUUUUAAAAAAGAACCUUGAAGUCUGUGAGUGACCAAUCAAAGAUGAAAAUUAAUAAUGGAAGACCUGGGAUAUACAAUCAAGUCUAAAGCCUAGAUAUCUGGUUAUUUUAGAAAAGCUUCAUAGGCAAGUGUCAGUGGAGCUGUGUUAUUUGAGCUGAGCUGCACCUUGAAGAACCAAAAAAAUUAUAAAUGGACAAAUAAGACCAAGUGCCUACACCAAAAGAAUUCUAAUGCUUAGAAGAGUUGCAGAAUAAAAUAUGUUGCAUGGGAUGUCAAUAGUAAAGGUCAAGAUAGAGGACAAAGAAACACAGAGGAAGGAGGUUAAUGGAAUGAGAGAAGAAAGUAUUUUUAGAGGAAGUUGAUAUUUCACCUGAGUUGUAAAAGGUCUUCUGUGAGUACACCGACAAUUUCAAACACUAUACUAGGAACUGAAUUUGGAUAAAUCAUAACCUGCCCCAGGGGCUCACUUCUAGGAGAGGGGACAGAUAAGUAAUUGCACAAUUAUAAUAUAAUUAUAACAUACUAUAUAAUGCUCUAGGCUGUAUGAGUAUAUGAAAGAGGAAUUUAUAAGUCACAAUACGGGGAAAAGAGUCUUAUAACUUACAUCUCCACAAAUGUUUUUUCUUUUCAGGGGAUGCUCCUAAAUUACAGCCAUUAUAUCGCAGGAGAUAGAACAUAUACGAGGCACAAUGGCAAAGCAUAGGAUCUAUGUUUUAACUAAUGAAUGGGAAAUAGGCUCCAAAAGAAGAUUGCCCAUUAAAGCCAUCCCCUUGAGAGGCUAUUAAUGAAUUCCAAAGAUGUUGCCUUUCCUUAAAGCUUUUUUGGAACUUGUAUUUGGUUAGACUCUGAGCUCUUCUAGAGCAGAACAAAGCUUAACUUAAUGCAUGGUGCAUGAUUAAUGUUUAUAGAACAAGUAAGUGAACUCAGAGACAGUGGCUCAUUUUUAAUACCAUAAUUGGUGAGUAAUACUUGUUCCUGGGGUGUUUGGGGUUUUUAGAGGCUUAAGACAUCCAGAUUUAACAAAACUGUGGUCAGACUAACAGUGUUUAGAGUUCAAAGUGAGGCAUAGCUCUACAGUAAUGGAAGUGGAUUUCUUGCAAACCAUCUCCAAAGAAUACCAGAACAAAAGCAGGAAGAAAAGAAAGUGUGUUUUUUUUCUUUUCUUUUCCUUUCUUUUUCUUUUUUUUAGACGGAGUCUUGCUCUGUCACCAGGCUGGAGUGCAGUGGCAUGAUCUCGGCUCACUGCAACCUCCGCCUCCUGGGCUCAUGCCAUUCUCCUGCCUCAGCCUCCCAAGCAGCUGAGAUUACAGGCACCCGCCACCACACCCGGCUAAUUUUUGUAUUUUUAGCAGAGACGGGAUUUCACCAUGUUGGCCAGGAUGGUCUCGAUCUCUUGACCUUGUGAUCCACCCGCCUCGGACUCCCAAAGUACUGGGAUUACAGGCAUGAGCCACUGCACCCGGCCAAAAGUGGGUUUUGAUGAAUAGUAACGUCAUCCUCAAAUAUGAAGAGUAUUGGUUGUAAUGUUGCUUGGAGGAAAUUGAUAAGCACUUUUUAAGAAAAGUAGAUUGUAUUAGAAGCAUCCUUUCUUUCUUUUUUUUUUUUUUUUUUUUUACUUUAAGUUCUGGGAUACAUGUGUAGAAUGUGCAGGUUUUUUACGUAGGUGUACAUAUGCCAUGGUGGUUUGCUCCACCUAUCAACCAGUCAUCUAGGUUUUCAGCCCCGCAUGCAUUAGGUAUUUGUCCUAAUGCUCUCCCUCCCCUUGUCCCUCACCCUCCAACAGGCCCCAGUGUGUGAUGCUCCCCUCCCUGUGCCCAUGUGUUCUCAUUGUUCAACUCGCAUUUAUGAGUGAGAACAUGUGGAGUUUGAUUUUCUGUUCCUGUGUUAGUUUGCUGAGAAUGAUGGCUUCCAGCUUCCUCUAUGUCCCUGCAAAGGACAUGAACUCAUUCUUUUUUAUGGCUGCAUAGUAUUCUAUGGUGUAUAUGUGCCAAUUUUUUUUAUCCAAUCUAUUAUUGAUGGGCAUUUGGGUUGGUUCCAAGUCUUUCCUAUUGUAAAUAGUACUGCAAUAAACAUACCUGUGCAUGUGUCUUUAUAAUAGAAUGAUUUAUAAUCCUUUGGUUAUAUACCCAGUAAUGGGAUUGCUGGGUCAAAUGGUAUCUAGAUCUUUGAGGAAUCAUCACAAUGUCUUCCACAAUGGUUAAACUAAUUUACACUCCCAUCACCAGUAUAAAAGCGUUCCUAUUUCUCCACAUCCUUGCCAGCAUCUGUUGUUUCCUGACUUUUUAAUAAUCAUCAUUCUAAUUGACAUGAGAUGGCAUCUCAUUGUGGUUUUCAUUUGCAUUUUUCUAAUGACUAGUGAUGAUGAGCUUUUUUUCAUAUGUUUGUUGGCCGCAUGGUUGUCUUCUUUUGAGAAGUGUCUGUUCAUAGCAGAAGCAUUUCUUCUGGGAACAAAAGUACCAUCCAAGGAUUAUUUAAACACCAGAGGAUUUUGAAUAAGCAAAAAUGUCCUUUGAGCUGACUUUUGGGAUUGGAGCUGGUGAGAACUGCAUUACUCAGCAUGGCAUGAAAAGCACUUGGAAUUGCUAGGAGCAAUCCUGGAAGUCCACUUUAAAAAAGAUCAUAGGGAAGAGAAAGAGAGAAGCCACUGAGAUGAAGAAAGAGCCCAUGACACCAGUGUGCCUGGGUGGACAAAAGACAAGCUGUGGAUUGUUUCAAAUAGAGGAUUGGUUCACACAGGGAUUCGGUUCUUUGCUCUCUACACUGAUGUUACAGUUACAAGCACCAUACCUGCAUGAUAUUGUUGAUAUUUUUUAAGAUCAAGGAAAAAACCUGAAAGUCCAUAUAUGAGUGAAAGUGGUGUAAGUCAGGGGCAACAUUCAAGGAAGAUAAAAUAAUUCAUAAAUAGAACUGAUUUAUGGGAGCAGGAGCUCAGAACUAGAAGUAACAAUAGAAACCCAGAUCCUCCAGAGAUUCAUAGAACUCUUAGAAAAAGCUUCGACUAUGGCCUGGGGGUUCUGAGUAGCCUUAGCUUAAUUGGAAGCCUUACCCCAAUUGACACAUGAGUUUCAUAUAAAAUAUAGCACUAGACAAAAUCUGAGCACCUCUAUUUUGAUUAUAGAAAAUUGGUUCUGAAGCUUUUUUUUUUCUUUUCUGGAAUUUUCUUCUUUCUUUACUAAGAAAAAAGUUCCACCCUGCUACUGCUGCCCCUACAGAGUCGAUCAUGGUAUUUGCUGGGUUCCCACUGUAUUUUCUAGAGAUUUACAUUUUAGCACCUGUAUAAGUUUUGGACAAUUUAGAAAUUUUCUGCUCCUUUAGAUUCUGAGCUACUUGAGGUUGGGGAACAUGUCUUAUUUUUGUUUAUCCUGAACCCUUUGUUUCUAUCAAAUAUCCAGUAAAUGUUACUGAAUAAAUGAAUGAAUUAAUGAUUAAAUGUAUGUAUGCAUGAAUCAAUGAAUGAAGAUGAGUAUCUAUGCUCCUAGAAGUUAUAACCUAAAUACAGGGAAUUUUAAGUAACAGAGUACAAGUCUGGGCG